rnacentral:tRNA from 1 species
GGGCCGGUAGCUCAGCCAGGCAGAGCGGCGGGCUUUUAACCCGUAGGUCCCGGGUUCAAAUCCCGGCCGGCCCGCCA